rnacentral:rRNA from 1 species
GAUGAACGCUGGCGGCGUGCUUAACACAUGCAAGUCGAACGGGAUCCAUCAGGCUUUGCUUGGUGGUGAGAGUGGCGAACGGGUGAGUAAUGCGUGACCGACCUGCCCCAUACACCGGAAUAGCUCCUGGAAACGGGUGGUAAUGCCGGAUGCUCCAGUUGAUCGCAUGGUCUUCUGGGAAAGCUUUCGCGGUAUGGGAUGGGGUCGCGUCCUAUCAGCUUGACGGCGGGGUAACGGCCCACCGUGGCUUCGACGGGUAGCCGGCCUGAGAGGGCGACCGGCCACAUUGGGACUGAGAUACGGCCCAGACUCCUACGGGAGGCAGCAGUGGGGAAUAUUGCACAAUGGGCGCAAGCCUGAUGCAGCGACGCCGCGUGAGGGAUGGAGGCCUUCGGGUUGUAAACCUCUUUUAUCGGG